AGCUGGGUGUACUUGAGUAGGGUUCUCAACUACUUACUCUCUUAGUCUCUUCCUACUCGACCCAAAAAAAUUCUCUUGCACAAAUUUUUGCUUUUAGAUUCUUCUUAAGUUGUACACAACACCGCCUACACCAAUGGCUUCAGGUUGAGCCGAUCUACAAAAGCCCCAAACUUCCAAAACUUGCCGUCACAGGAGUUUGCCACACGCGCCGCUCCUUGCUUUAUACUUUUCCAAUAUCGACUCGAACCGGCUUCGAUCACAUUCUCAAUGGAUCCAGACCAGAUAAGAAGCUCACAAUGGAAGGUCUCAGGUUUUCUGGAAAUGGAGAAGCAGAGAAGGAUAAUUCUAAUAUAGUCAUGCAAUUCCAUAUUAUGUGGAGUUCUUCUCAUCGUAAAUGCAAUGAAGAUUAGAAAGAACCAAACAUCUUUAGCUUCAUGUGGUACCCUCUGAUUAUAGAGAUGAAUUUUAUCAGGUAUGGUGCGUACCCUAAAUCUUGGGCUUGAGAAGACAAUGCAUAUCAAGAUCUCUGUGGCAUGAGAUAACUUGUGAAGGAUAUUUGAGCAGCUUGAGGUUAUGCUCGGUAGGUGGAGCUCAGCCUUGGAGGUCUCCAUAUAACCGUACAGGAUUCUGUUGCAACUACAUUUUUUAAAAAAAAAUUUGGUAAAAUCUGGUAGACCAUUUUUUAUAUGGUUUCCAGCAUGUGAAUUGGUGGGUUGUAAUAGCUUUGUUGCAGGAAUGUUCAACAUUUUGCUUUUAAUUGAAUGAUUGGUUGCCUUUUAAA